ensembl:snRNA U6 U6 spliceosomal RNA
GUGCUCGCUUCCACUGUACAUAUACUAAAAUUGGAAUGAUACAGAGAAGAUUAGCAGGGCCCCUGUGCAAGGAUGACACAUAAAUUUGUGAAGCAUUCCAUGUUUUU